rnacentral:rRNA from 1 species
AACGAACGCUGGCGGCAGGCUUAACACAUGCAAGUCGAACGCAUCGCAAGAUGAGUGGCAGACGGGUGAGUAACACGUGGGAAUCUACCCAUCCCUGCGGAACAACUCCGGGAAACUGGAGCUAAUACCGCAUACGCCCUUCGGGGGAAAGAUUUAUCGGGGAUGGAUGAGCCCGCGUUGGAUUAGCUAGUUGGUGGGGUAAAGGCCUACCAAGGCGACGAUCCAUAGCUGGUCUGAGAGGAUGGUCAGCCAGACUGGGACUGCGAACGGCCCAGACUCCUACGGGAGGCAGCAGUUAGGAAUUUUGGGCAAUGGGCGGAAGCCUGACCCAGCAACGCCGCGUGGGUGAUGAAGGCCCUCGGGUCGUAAAGCCCUUUUCCCAGGGACGAUGGUGACGGUACCUGGGGAAUCAGCCCCGGCUAACUACGUGCCAGCCGCCGCCGUAAUAC